GAGGGUAUAACUCAGUGGUAGAGUAUGUGCAUAGCAUGCAUGAGGUCCUGGGUUCAAUCCCCAGUAUCUCCA
rnacentral:tRNA from 1 species